rfam:Canis lupus familiaris chromosome 4, whole genome shotgun sequence.
AGAUAUGAGGGCACUCUGACUGCAAUAUCUGUUACCCUGUUGAUAGGGUUGAUGCGGCUGAUCCUACUGGCUAGAUGGGUAUCCUCUUGUUCCCUCACCAUUAUGUGUGUCCCUCAUGAAGCUGUAUGUUUGAAGAGGACAACCUUCCCUGAUGGAGGAGGACCAUUCUUUUCUCGAGGGUAUACAAAUAGCUGUACUUCCCUGCUAGAUCCUCCAAACAAGGUCCAUUUGUAGGAGAUUGUAGGGUAGUCAAGUUUCUAGAUUCCAGACACAUCCAAAUGAGGUACUGCAUGUGGCAGUCUGCCUUUCUAG